rnacentral:rRNA from 1 species
UACGGAGGAUUCAAGCGUUAUCCGGAUUUAUUGGGUUUAAAGGGUGCGUAGGCGGUCGGAUAAGUUAGAGGUGAAAUCCCGGGGCUCAACUUCGGAAUUGCCUCUGAUACUGUUCGGCUAGUGAGUAGUUGCGGUAGGCGGAAUGUAUGGUGUAGCGGUGAAAUGCUUAGAGAUCAUACAGAACACCGAUUGCGAAGGCAGCUUACCAAGCUACUUCUGACGUUGAGGCACGAAAGCGUGGGGAGCAAACAGG